AUUGAACGCUGGCGGCAGGCUUAAUACAUGCAAGUCGAGCGAGCGGCGGACGGGUGAGUAAUGUCUGGGAAACUGCCUGAUGGAGGGGGAUAACUACUGGAAACGGUAGCUAAUACUGCAUACGAUCAGAUGUGCCCAGAUGGGAUUAGCUAGUAGGUGGGGUAAUGGCUCACCUAGGCGACGAUCCAUAGCUGGUCUGAGAGGAUGACCAGCCACACUGGAACUGAGACACGGGCCAGACUCCUACGGGAGGCAGCAGUGGGGAAUCUUGGCCAAUGGGCGCAAGCCUGAUGCAGCCAUGCCGCGUGUGUGAAGAAGGUCUUCGGGUUGUAAAGCACUUUCGGCGAGGAGGCGUUACUCGCAGAAGAAGCACCGGCUAACUCCGUGCCAGCAGCCGCGGUAAUUC
rnacentral:rRNA from 1 species